GACGAACGCUGGCGGCGUGCUUAACACAUGCAAGUCGAACGGAAAGGCCCUGCUUUUGUGGGGUGCUCGAGUGGCGAACGGGUGAGUAACACGUGAGUAACCUGCCCUUGACUUUGGGAUAACUUCAGGAAACUGGGGCUAAUACCGGAUAGGAGCUCCUGCUGCAUGGUGGGGGUUGUAACGUUUCGGCGGUUGGGGAUGGACUCGCGGCUUAUCAGCUUGUUGGUGGGGUAGUGGCUUACCAAGGCUUUGACGGGUAGCCGGCCUGAGAGGGUGACCGGCCACAUUGGGACUGAGAUACGGCCCAGACUCCUACGGGAGGCAGCAGUGGGGAAUAUUGCACAAUGGGCGGAAGCCUGAUGCAGCAACGCCGCGUGCGGGAUGACGGCCUUCGGGUUGUAAACCGCUUUCGCCUGUGACGAAGCGUGAGUGACGGUAAUGGGUAAAGAAGCACCGGCUAACUACGUG
rnacentral:rRNA from 1 species